CAGAUUUUCAUAUUUUUUACUGGGGCGGUGCCAGAAAUUUUAGGGGGGGUGGGUGAGCCGUGAGCAGGUGACUGAAGCAACACAAAGUGUCACCAUACCCCAGUAAGGUAUACUAUAUUCUAGAGGUGGAGCACUAGAGAUGUGAGGAGGAGUCUAGAGACCAGAAAACAAAGUAUCCCUGGAAAAAUUUUAAAAAAUCAUGAUUCCUAGCUUUGAAAAGAGUUUUUUGAAGUGGUCAUAUCAAUGGAUUUGGCAUGUCCGAUUGUCUGAUGAGACUUGGGAGAGUUAAUUAAAAGUUAAAUGAACCUGUAAAAGUGUAAACCUAAUAGGCC